UUCCAGACUCCUACGGGAGGCAGCAGUGGGGAAUAUUGCACAAUGGGGGGAACCCUGAUGCAGCGACGCCGCGUGAGUGAAGAAGUAUUUCGGUAUGUAAAGCUCUAUCAGCAGGGACGAAGAUGACGGUACCUGCAGAAGAAGCCCCGGCUAACUACGUGCCAGCAGCCGCGGUAAUACGUAGGGGGCAAGCGUUAUCCGGAUUUACUGGGUGUAAAGGGAGCGUAGACGGAAAGGCAAGUCAGAAGUGAAAACCCAAGGCUCAACCAUGGGACUGCUUUUGAAACUGUCAAACUAGAGUACGGGAGAGGUAAGAGGAAUUCCUAGUGUAGCGGUGAAAUGCGUAGAUAUUAGGAGGAACACCAGUGGCGAAGGCGUCUUACUGGACCGAAACUGACGUUGAGGCUCGAAAGCGUGGGGAGCAAACAGGAUUAGAUACCCGGGUAC
rnacentral:rRNA from 1 species